rnacentral:lncRNA from 12 species
CUACACCGCCUGCAUCCCUAAUCCUGCCGGGGCUGGCGGCAGAAGGAGGGUGUGAACGCGUGUGAGCGCACGUGCACGCGUGUCUGGCAAACGGCUGCUCCCCCCCCGCCCCGCCUCCCCCGCCGCUCUCCUUGGUUAACCCCAGCCCGCCUGGAUCCCUCCUUCGCCGCCUCUUGAUUUCCCGUCCCGGAUCUUUGGACAUCGCGUGUGUCCUCGGGCAAGUCAUUACCCCUCGUGCCUCAUCUUACCCGUGUGGAAGGACAGAGGGCCUCGACGGCGGGGUCCUUGGAGGAGCGCCGGGGCCCCGGUGGCUUCAAGGCUUUUUACCCCGCGGCAGGUGGGGCGGGUGCAGCCCCGGCCCGAGACGGGAAGCGAGGUGCAGAAGGUAUUGUGGGGUCUUAGCUGUGCUGAGAGCAGCGGGUCAGGGAGCAACCGCUGUUGAGGACACAGUUUGUGACUCGCAGGUCCCAAGAGGCACGGGCACAGCGGUCAGCGGGUAGGAGCUCGGGGCAGCCCGGUCCCGUCACCGCCGUCCCCCGCAGGUGGGGGACGGCCACUGAGGGCAGUGGGUCGGGGGCCCUGGAGUCAGACGCGGGGCCUGCCCAGGAAUGCUGCGGGAGUGCCCAGGAACGCAGGGAAAGGACCAGGACGCGCAGGCGCCCCCAGACAAGCGGCCUUCAUCGGGAUGUCCCGGCCUCCAGGGGAGGAGGGGGAGAAGCAGCGGCUCAGGGAACUUCUGCAGGUGACAGGCGCUCCCCGGCACCCCGAGCUGAGCAAGGGCGUCUCGUGGACGCUCAGCCAAAGUGCAUGGACCCCCGAGCUGUGCGUCAGCAGCAAAGGGAGGUCAAGGUUCUUCGCAAGGGGCUGACACCCCCGGGGCCCUGCGAGCCACUCCCGGACACGAGAGGGGCACUUGUUUAUCGGCAACUGGAUGGCCCAGCAUGUGGCCCCGGGGAGUUGCCCACACCUUCCCCCCGCCCCGGGACGGAGGGGGCAGAGCCUGACUGGCCGGGGGCUGGACAGGUGCAGGGCCCGAGGGACCGGGACAGGUCAGUUCCUGUGAGGAAAUGAAGGCCUGGAGUUGAGACGUCCCCGCAGAGGGCGAGCGUGGGGGGGGCAGGGUGCUGCCCGCAUCUGCCUUCCCCUACCCGCCCCCCCCACCCGGGCCCAGGUGCUCAUCUGUAGGUUGCGGACCGGCUCCCGGGGCAGCCCGAGGGUCACCAGGGUUACCCAGUGGGCAGCCCGUGCCCGGGGCAAUGGGGACACUGAGGCCCCCACGACACUCUGAAAAAAGCAGA